AGUGAACGCUGGCGGUAGGCCUAACACAUGCAAGUCGAACGGCAGCACAGUAAGAGCUUGCUCUUACGGGUGGCGAGUGGCGGACGGGUGAGGAAUACAUCGGAAUCUACUUUUUCGUGGGGGAUAACGUAGGGAAACUUACGCUAAUACCGCAUACGACCUACGGGUGAAAGCAGGGGAUCUUCGGACCUUGCGCGAUUGAAUGAGCCGGUGUCGGAUUAGCUAGUUGGCGGGGUAAAGGCCCACCAAGGCGACGAUCCGUAGCUGGUCUGAGAGGAUGAUCAGCCACACUGGAACGGAGACACGGUCCAGACUCCUACGGGAGGCAGCAGUGGGGAAUAUUGGACAAUGGGCGCAAGCCUGAUCCAGCCAUACCGCGUGGGGGAAGAAGGCCUUCGGGUUGUAAAGCCCUUUUGUUGGGAAAGAAAAGCAGCAGGUUAAUACCCCGCUGUUCUGACGGUACCCAAAGAAUAAGCACCGGCUAACUUCGUG
rnacentral:rRNA from 1 species